rnacentral:rRNA from 1 species
GACGAACCGUGCGAACGUUGUUCGGAUUCACUGGGCUUAAAGGGCGCGUAGGCGGGCGGUCAAGUCAGAGGUGAAAUCCUCCAGCUCAACUGGAGAAGUGCCCCUGAUACUGGCCGUCUCGAGGGAGGUAGGGGCAUGUGGAACUUCCGGUGGAGCGGUGAAAUGCGUAGAUAUCGGAAGGAACGCCGGUGGCGAAAGCGACGUGCUGGACCUCUUCUGACGCUGAGGCGCGAAAGCCAGGGGAGCAAACGGG